GACGAACGCUGGCGGCGUGCCUAAUACAUGCAAGUAGAACGCUGAAGGAGGAGCUUGCUCUUCUGGAUGAGUUGCGAACGGGUGAGUAACGCGUAGGUAACCUGCCUGGUAGCGGGGGAUAACUAUUGGAAACGAUAGCUAAUACCGCAUAAUAGUAGAUGUUGCAUGAUAUUUACUUAAAAGGUGCAAUUGCACCACCACCAGAUGGACCUGCGUUGUAUUAGCUAGUUGGUGGGGUAACGGCUCACCAAGGCGACGAUACAUAGCCGACCUGAGAGGGUGAUCGGCCACACUGGGACUGAGACACGGCCCAGACUCCUACGGGAGGCAGCAGUAGGGAAUCUUCGGCAAUGGACGAAAGUCUGACCGAGCAACGCCGCGUGAGUGAAGAAGGUUUUCGGAUCGUAAAGCUCUGUUGUAAGAGAAGAACGAGUGUGAGAGUGGAAAGUUCACACUGUGACGGUAUCUUACCAGAAAGGGACGGCUAACUACGUG
rnacentral:rRNA from 1 species